GCUCAGGAGUUCAGCAGUUGGACGGGACUGCUCUGUCUUCGCAUCUCGCCCGUGACCGCCCAGCACGGACCCCUCGCGAUGAAGUAAAGUAGCGCCGCCCGGCACGGAUCCCCCUCGCUCGCGACUGCCACAUGGAUCCUCUUCGCCCAAGACCGUCGCUGCUAUCUCCUUCGCCCACAGGUCACCGUUGUAUUCCCGGUUGCCAUCAAUUCAUCCUUCAGCAUGCUACCACAAACAUCCUGAACUGCAACGAGUCUCCACAUUGUGUAGAGGACCUAAUGCCAUCAAAUCGAUCCCCAAACCCCUAACUUGGAGUGGGAUGGCUACACAGCAUAGGAUCUCCGACAAAGGCGCUAGACCUAUCAUGGGUUCUUGACGGGAUGGACCGCAACUCAGCGUGUAGGCUUGCCAUUCACAUCCCUAGCUAUGAGAAGCAUGGUAUGCAAGAUUAUCAUGCCACCUGUGAUAAGAAUUGGGUUUGUGAUAAGGACACAAUUUCGUGGAUGGAUUUCUAUGCUGACUUUAGAUGUUGAGAUAAAGCGAGGUAGUAACCAAUGUUUGUAAGUGAGCUUUUGGGACAAGGUCGCAUGCGAGUAUAGAGAGAUUGAUUUUGAUUCCUCAUUGGUUGCUGCAAUCAAUAUGUACUGGGGUAUCAGAAGGCUUCCUCUGGUAGUUUCAGUCACUAAUAAGCCAAGACAUGUUACCAUUGUACCUACUGAUGUUGCUAUUAUUGAUAUAAAAUCAAGUCAAAUGUUGAUAUGCAGCACUGAAAUCAAGUCAAAUCUUGUUGCUAGAGUCCUUACGGAUGUUAUUACCAGUGCACCUACCAAUGAUCCUACUUCUCAUGUUGAUGAUCCUUGGGGUGAAAAUGAUGAAAUAGCGUAUGUUGGCAUAGAUGAUGAGCCUGUUGAGCCUGCUUCUAACACCAGUUGUGAUUACAUUCCUGACACCGAUGAAGAAGAUAAUGAUGAUUGUGUUGUUGAUGAUCAAAAAGGUUGUGAGCUUGUUGGUGUGACAUUUGAAGAUAGAGACACCUUCAUGAGAGCUAUUAGGCAGUAUGCUAUUCUGAAUGAGAUUGAAAUUGCAGCCCCUUACAAUGAAGCAAAGAGGUUUACAGGAUAUUAUAAAAGCAGUAAGUGCAAGUGGAGAAUACAUGCAUCACAAUUGUAGGAUGAAAGGACAUGGAUGAUUAAGAAGAUGCCUAACAAGCACUAUUGCAAGAGCACAAGUAAAGUACAGAACAAUUGCAUGGCUAAUUAGUUUUGGGUUAGGGAUAGGGUAAUCCAAUGGCUAAGGCAAGAUCCUACAAUUGGAGCUUCGCCUUUGAAGAACAAGUUGGAGGAGAAGUACUUGAUCAAGCUAUCAUAUUGGAUUGUAUACAAUGGCAGGCAGUUAGCACUUGAUGAGAUUUUGGGCAAGCGGGAGGAUAUAGGUUUGACUAUGCAUUUGCAUUCAAAGCAGAGAUAGAGAGAAAGUCUCCUAGAAGUAUAGUAGAAAUAGACUAUGAGAAGGUUGGGUCCAAGAUGAGAUUCAGCAUGAUGUUUAUUGCUUUGAAGCCAUGUAUUGAUGGAUUCAAAAAUGGGUCCAGGCCCUAUUUGGGCAUUGACUCCACUACUCUUACUGGAAGGUGGAAGGGGCAGCUAGCUUCAGUUAUAGGCAUUGAUGGACAUAACUGGAUGUUCCUUGUGGCAUAUGGAGUAUUUGGGUCCGAGACAUGGGACAAUUGCGGCUGGUUCAUGAGCAAGCUUGCAAUGGCAAUUGGAUCCCUACCUAGACUUGUCAUUUCAACUGAUGCUGGGAAAGGCAUUGACAUAGCUGUGACCAAAGUCAUUACCAAUGGAGUAGAGCAUAGGGAAUGCAUGAGGCAUCUAUACGAUAGAACUGAUGGACAAAAUUAGGCAAAAAAUCAUGGAGAAGUUGUUUCAAAGAAGAAGUCUAGCCAUGAAGUUGAACUCUAAAGUACUGCCACACAUAAUUAGGGCUCUCAAUGCAAAGAGUAGAGGACUAGUUGGUUGUUCAAUCCACGAAGGUGUUGGCCACAUGGCAGAGAUUAGUGGUGUUUACAAGGACUUGACACCUUGGGGACAUACUGUUAAUCAGGAACAUAGAACUUGCAGUUGCAAGAGAUGGCAGCUCAUUGGACUACCAUGUAAUCAUGCUAUCAGUUUGAUAUGCUCUUACAGAGGUCUAGAGUUGGAGGAUUAUGUUAACAGUUGUUACUUUGUGUCUAAGUUUAAAUCAAGAUACGAAGGUUGGAUUGAACCAAUACCAGAUAAGACACAAUGGCCUCAAGACACAGUGGCCUCAAGUACACUUAGGAUUCAAGUUGUGGCCUCUAGUACUCAAGAGGGCAGCAAGUAGACCAAGGAGUAAACGAAUAAAAGCAUUUGAUGAGGGUGGUAGCAAGAAAAGGAAGAGAUGUAGGAGAUGUGGUCAGUUAGAACACAUGCAAAAAACUUGCAAUGAGAUGGUGUAUGGCUCAGAUGCUCCACCUCUAGCACCACCAAAACCUAAGAGAAAUAGAACCAAGAAGAAGGAGGAAGUAGCAGCCAGCACAAGCACACUUAAAAGAAAGAGGACCGAGAAGAAGAAGGAAAUUAUCACAGAAGUAGCAGCCAGCCCAAGUACACCACUAAGGCUGCAACAGGCACCAGCAACACCAUCAAGCCCAUUUGACCUAAACUGUAGUCCUAGAGCACUAACUAGGAGGAAAAUUGCAAUGGAGGAGGCUGAGGUGCAUGGUAGAGUGGCGCUGGAGCAUCUCAUGCACUUCUGAUAUAUGUGGUUGCGUGUGUGGAAGUAAACUAGAUGCUAUCUUUUGACAUGUCAUUGAUGUAAAUCUGUGACAUGCUAAGAAUUGUGACGUGUCAGUUACUUAUUCCACAUAUUUUGUCUCUCGCAAGUCAAGUGUGUGACAGCUAUGUUACUGUUAAACAUUGCACUUGUCAAAUAUGUUGAAAAAUUGAUGACAUGUUGUGGCUGGAA